CGACAUUGUUGGCGGGCAGAAAGAUCUGUGUUUGUUAUUAUUUUCGUCGAGGUGGUAUAUGCGUGUGGAUCAUUCGUAGUAACUCAUUAAAUGUUUGUGGUAUUGUGAUUUCUAAGAGACGAAAAGCGGAACGCAAUAUUGUUGAAGAGAAAAUAGGAAACAUAAUAUACACUCGCAUUCUGGGACGCAAACCAGCUGAUCUGUUAAAAUGAUUGUGGUUAGAAUGUCUUUUUUUCCCACAGAAUAUAAAUGUGUAGGAGUUAUUAAAUACUGUGACAUACGUACUGAAGCUGCACGUGUAGUGUUGUACUUAUGAGCAUUAUAAAUGGCAGAUUUAGCUCCAUAGCUGUGUUGUAUGCAAUUUAGUACUGUUGUAGUGGCUGUUGGAAGGCUUCUUCAAUGGAGAAAUGCAGCGAAACUGGAGAUACUGUGGGAAAUACGCAUUUGCAAAACAAGAUGCUGAAAUAGCAGAUAAGGAUUCAUAUGAAUGUCUCGCCUGACAUUCAGAAAAUUCGAAAAUCAAAUAAAUGUCUACCAAUUUAACUUUUCAUUAUUAAUCAGAAGUUCCAUUAGGGAGUAAAUGGUUUACGAUGUGUAGUGAGUGAUGUCGUGCUCACCAUAUUGUAUGUGUUUGAAAUAGUGUACACCAUGUUGAUGGCAUUACUGGUCAAAACAGGCUGUGGAGUCAUGACUUUACACCAAUCUAUCAUUUAUCAUUGAGAAGUAGAUCACUUUAUAUAAAGUGAUUUUGUUCUUCGAUAUAGUUUGUGUGUGUGUUUUGAUUAGUUAAAAGUAAUGCUCUGUUCCAAGGACCAUUGGUCUGUUUCUAUCAAAAUGGUGUAGAUUACUUUGGAUUUACACUCUGUGUCUUUGUUUAUGGCUACAUACUGGCUAUUUGCAGGUUACCAGCUAGCUUAUUGACUGAAAAGUAAUGAUAAUGAACAUAUUGGUCUCAUUCACUGUUCAUGUUACUGUUACAGAAUGUUUACAUCUACUUCUAAAUAGCACAAGCAAUAAUUGUAGUCUUUUUUAUACCAUAAGGUUUCUGUUAAAUAUCCAUCUUUAGAGCUGAAGUUGCCAGAAGAAGCAGUUUCAGUUCAGAUUUAAAUUUUUGUAAGGGUUUAGAGCAGCCAGUUGCCUUUGGUUUUGUUCUUCAGUUUCUAUUUACCAUGACUGGUUUUAAAUUAACAAAUGAUUUAUCAUCAGAUGGUACAUAUUUAUUGCAUAUCUGCAGCAUUCUUGUGGCUCAUGUAGUUAUGGCAAGAGAACGAAACAUAUAGGCACCGAAUGUGGUUAGAACUACGUACAGUUCACACCUGGCCACAGCUGCACAACUCCAACAAAGCUGCAAACAUGCAAUAAAUAUGUACCACCUGAUGAUAGUGAUUCAAAACUCGUCUUAGUAAAUAAAGAUUGAAAAAUAAUACAAAAUGUGGCUGACAGUAAUUUCUGGAAAGUUUUAAUUUUUUUUUAAGUACCUCUCAGAUUAUGUUGGUGGGACAAUAAUAGAAAACUUUUGUGGCUAUUGUCGAUCGCUUUUGUGAACCUUUGGCAGACUUAGUGAUAAACAGUUAUUAUGUUUUCUUCUAAAUUUUGAUUAAAAUAACUCUUGGUUGGCAGACAGCUAUGUGGGUGCAGGGUCGUUCGUUAUAUGCAUCAUUCCACAUACUUAAGCAAGAGCUCCACAUGCAAUGCAAAUAGAGCAAAACAUACAUUCAGAUUACUUUUAUUGUUGUCAUUGUCAGCAGCAGUGGGAAGUAUAUCAGUGGGGAUGGUGGAAAGGGCAACAGCUGCCUCUCACCUUUACUAUGCAUCGUACUGCAGCUGAGAAAGCUGUGCAGUGCCUAAAAACUCAGUCAUUAUAGCGGACACAUAGGUGUGAAGGAAGAACAGCAGUUGUUGACUCUUAGCCACUGCCACUAUCACAGAGUUGUAUUAAUCAAGGCAUAGUGUGGUUGUGAAAAAAUCAGUUCAAGCUGAAAUUUGAUUUGCUCUAUAAAUACAAGACAGAAAUAUAACUUUUGUGUAAACUUUCCAUCCUUAACUAGGAUUUAAGAAAGUUAUGUACUAUGGUAUGAAGAUAUUUGACAAACUCCCAUCGAACAUACAACAAGUAAUUAGUUAUCUCAGCAAAUUCAAAGGAAAAUUUAAAACCUACCUCAUUGGUGACUCCUUCCAUUGAUUAUCUUAGUACAAGGAUUUGUGGCAGGUAGUGUGUUGUAAACUGUCCUAUGUAAUUACAUAUUUAGGUUACUGUUUUCUUUGAAAAAAAACUUGAUUAAUGAAGUAAAUAUUAAGUUUCUUAUAAGACAUCCUGCAGCUACCUAAUAUAACUAAAGUAGCAGCAGCUUUCUUUCUAAUUCACUAGAACACAUAUAACUGGCAUAAACACAACUAGCAUUAAGCAGUAUUGUGAUAGUUUCUUGUUAAUAUAGCAUACAGCUUAAGAAAUGUUUGGUUGUCUUUUGUUACUGUUUACCUUCAAUUGCUCCCUGUAGUUUCACCUUCUUGGUGGUAGAGUAGAAGAAAUUUCUGUUCUUGUUCGCCUUCUUGGUGGGAUGUACAGACUAUGAUGAAUGAGUAGAAUAAAUUUCUAUUCUUUUGAAAUUGUGAUGGUUUAUUUAUGUCAAGCCACGUUAGUAAAUGUAUAUAAUGUGAAGGUGCUAUUAGAAUGCUUAAUGCCUUGAACACAUACCUACAUAAUGACUGUCAGUAAAUCCAUAGCAUCACUAUCUUCAGCAGCCCAGUUUCAAUGUGAAUGCAAUACAUGAUCAGAUUAGUUGAUUAUAUGUUCCACCAUUUAACAACUUAAUAUGUGCUCAAAUGUAGGAGUUUUUACUGCUAGGUACUUCUUUUGAGAUUGAUUUGCACCUCAUUGGCGACAGAGUGGUGUAUUGUACAUACAAAAUUCAUGUUAGUGAUCAGUACGUACUUAAUUCUCUUCUAAUUGUACAUGUACUGAUGUUAUUCUACUUAUGUUUGUUCUUUCCAUUACUGCCAGGUUCUAUAAAAAAAAAAUAUUCAUUAAUUCAUUCAAUACAUCUUUGAUUUAU